GAUGAACGCUGGCGGCGUGCCUAAUACAUGCAAGUCGAGCGAAUGGAUUAAGAGCUUGCUCUUAUGAAGUUAGCGGCGGACGGGUGAGUAACACGUGGGUAACCUGCCCAUAAGACUGGGAUAACUCCGGGAAACCGGGGCUAAUACCGGAUAACAUUUUGAACCGCAUGGUUCGAAAUUGAAAGGCGGCUUCGGCUGUCACUUAUGGAUGGACCCGCGUCGCAUUAGCUAGUUGGUGAGGUAACGGCUCACCAAGGCAACGAUGCGUAGCCGACCUGAGAGGGUGAUCGGCCACACUGGGGCUGAGACACGGCCCAGACUCCUACGGGAGGCAGCAGUAGGGAAUCUUCCGCAAUGGACGAAAGUCUGACGGAGCAACGCCGCGUGAGUGAUGAAGGCUUUCGGGUCGUAAAACUCUGUUGUUAGGGAAGAACAAGUGCUAGUUGAAUAGGCUGGCACCUUGACGGUACAUAACCAGAAAGCCACGGCUAACUACGUGCCAGCCGCCGCGGUAA
rnacentral:rRNA from 1 species